rnacentral:rRNA from 1 species
AUUGAACGCUGGCGGCAGGCCUAACACAUGCAAGUCGAACGAGUGGCGGACGGGUGAGUAAUGUCUGGGAAACUGCCUGAUGGAGGGGGAUAACUACUGGAAACGGUAGCUAAUACCGCAUACCAUCGGAUGUGCCCAGAUGGGAUUAGCUAGUAGGUGGGGUAAAGGCUCACCUAGGCGACGAUCCCUAGCUGGUCUGAGAGGGUGACCAGCAACACUGGAACUGAGACACGGUCCAGACUCCUACGGGAGGCAGCAGUGGGGAAUAUUACACAAUGGGCGAAAGCCUGAUGCAGCCAUGCCGCGUGUAUGAAGAAGGCCUUCGGGUUGUAAAGUACUUUCAGCGGGGAGGCGUUACCCGCAGAGGAAGCACCGGCUAACUCCGUGCCAGCAGCCGCGGUAAUAC